rnacentral:rRNA from 1 species
GAUGAACGCUGGCGGCGUGCCUAAUACAUGCCAGUCGAGCGAACAGACGAGGAGCUUGCUCCUCUGACGUUAGCGGCGGACGGGUGAGUAACACGUGGAUAACCUACCUAUAAGACUGGGAUAACUUCGGGAAACCGGAGCUAAUACCGGAUAAUAUAUUGAACCGCAUGGUUCAAUAGUGAAAGACGGUUUUGCUGUCACUUAUAGAUGGAUCCGCGCCGCAUUAGCUAGUUGGUAAGGUAACGGCUUACCAAGGCAACGAUGCGUAGCCGACCUGAGAGGGUGAUCGGCCACACUGGAACUGAGACACGGUCCAGACUCCUACGGGAGGCAGCAGUAGGGCAUCUUCCGCAAUGGGCGAAAGCCUGACGGAGCAACGCCGCGUGAGUGAUGAAGGUCUUCGGAUCGUAAAACUCUGUUAUUAGGGAAGAACAAAUGUGUAAGUAACUAUGCACGUCUUGACGGUACCUAAUCAGAAAGCCACGGCUAACUACGUG